GUUGAACUUGGCUGAGUGGUGCAAGGGAUCCCCUGGUGCCAUCCCUGCCAAAGACCCUAUCAGUGUCAUGAGCCUGAGGAUGAAAUCUCCCGAUGGGGAACCUCAGUUUUUGCCCUUAAGGCCUUCAACCUAUUGGAUGAGGCCCACCUGCAUUCAUCUCCUUUACUUAAAGUUAACUGAUUGGAGAGCUUAACCACAUCUGCAUGCUACCUUCCCUGAAAUACCUAGACGAGUGUCUGACCAAACUACUGGACUCCAUGGCCUAGCCAAGCUGGCUCAUUACAUUUAUUUAUUUACUUAGAGAUAAGUCUCGCUCCCCCAGGCUGGAGUAUGAUCAUAGCUCAUUGCAGCCUUGAAUUCCUGGACUCAAGUGAUCCUCCUGCCUCAGCCUCCACAUAGCUGGGAUGACAGGGGCAAGCCACAUGCCUGCUGAUACAUUAAAUCUAACCAUCAC
rnacentral:lncRNA from 10 species